rnacentral:lncRNA from 1 species
GCUAGGUUCCGGAACCUGACCUGAGCUGGGGCCUGUGCUUCCAGCGGGUGGUGGGGGGCCUGGUGUGCUGGCAUCAAGUAAGCCGACUACCUCGGCAAAGGCUUAGGGACAAGAGACCAGCAGCCUGAACUGGCUGGGGCAUCCGGAAGGCUUAGAUCUUGUGGCCAAGAGUUCAGACCGUGGCGAAGUGGAGAGUGACAUGCAGUUGGAUGGCGGUGACUGCGUGCUCAGAGUAGUUUGAUCGUCUGAAGCCUUCUUCUCUCAACUCGUCAAAGUCAUUCUCCGUCCAGCUUUGUUCCGUUACUGGUGAGGAGCUGCGUUCCUUUGGAGGAGGAGAGGUACUCUGAUUUUUAGAGUUUCCAGUUUUUCUGCUCUGUUUUUUCCCAUCUGUGUGGUUUUAUCUACUUUUGGUCUUUGAUGAUGGUGGUGUACAGAUGGGUUUUUGGUGUGGAUGUCCUUUCUCUUUGUUAGUUUUCCUUCUAACAGACAGGACCCUCAGCUGCAGGUCUGUUGGAGUUUGCUAGAGGUCCACUCCAGACCCUGUUUGCCUGGGUACCAGCAGCAGUGGCUGCAGAACAGCGGAUUUUCGUGAACUGCUAAUGCUGCUGUCUGAUCGUUCCUCUGGAUGUUUUGUCUCAGAGGAGUACCCGGCCGCGUGAGGUGUCAGUCUGCCCCUACUGGGGGGUGCCUCCCAGUUAGGCUGCUCAGGGGUCAGGGGUCAGGGUCCCACUUGAGGAGGCAGUCUGCCCAUUCUCAGAUCUCCAGCUGCUUGCUGGGAGAACCACUGCUGUCUUCAAAGCUGUCAGACAGGGACAUUUAAGUCUGCAGAGGUUACUGCUGUCUUUUUGUUUGUCUGUGCCCUGCCCCCAGAGGUGGAGCCUACAGAGGCAGGCAGGCCUCCUUGAGCUGUGGUGGGCUCCACCCAGUUGCAGCUUCCUGCCUGCUUUGUUUACCUAAGCAAGCCUGGGCAAUGGCGGGCGCCCCUCCCCCAGCCUCACUGCCGCCUUGCAGUUUGAUCUCAGACUGCUGUGCUAGCAAUCAGCGAGACUCCGUGGGCAUAGGACCCUCCGAGCCAGGUGCAGGAUAGAAUCUCCUGGUGCGCCGUUUUUUAAGCCCGUCGGAAAAGCACUGUAUUAGGGUGGGGGUGACCCGAUUUUCCAGGUGCCCUCUGUCACCCCUUUCUUUGAGUAGGAAAGGGAACUCCCUGACCCCUUGCACUUCCCGAGUGGAGGCAAUGCCUCACCCUGCCUCUGCUCGCGCAUGGUGUGCUGCACCCGCUGUCCUGCACCCACUGUCUGGCACUCCCUAGUGAGAUGAACCCGGUACCUCAGAUGGAAAUGCAGAAAUCACCCAUCUUCUGCGUUGCUCAUGCUGGGAGCUGUAGACAUAGGGAUGUUUUAAAGUACUUGAAUUUACUGUUAACAUGAGCACCG